rnacentral:rRNA from 1 species
CAAGUCGAACGCUUUUUCUUUCACCGGAGCUUGCUCCACCGAAAGAAAAGGAGUGGCGAACGGGUGAGUAACACGUGGGUAACCUGCCCAUCAGAAGGGGAUAACACUUGGAAACAGGUGCUAAUACCGUAUAACAAUCGAAACCGCAUGGUUUCGGUUUGAAAGGCGCUUUUGCGUCACUGAUGGAUGGACCCGCGGUGCAUUAGCUAGUUGGUGAGGUAACGGCUCACCAAGGCAACGAUGCAUAGCCGACCUGAGAGGGUGAUCGGCCACAUUGGGACUGAGACACGGCCCAAACUCCUACGGGAGGCAGCAGUAGGGAAUCUUCGGCAAUGGACGGAAGUCUGACCGAGCAACGCCGCGUGAGUGAAGAAGGUUUUCGGAUCGUAAAACUCUGUUGUUAGAGAAGAACAAGGAUGAGAGUAGAAUGUUCAUCCCUUGACGGUAUCUAACCAGAAAGCCACGGCUAACUACGUGCCAGCAGCCGCGGUAAUACGUAGGUGGCAAGCGUUGUCCGGAUUUAUUGGGCGUAAAGCGAGCGCAGGCGGUUUCUUAAGUCUGAUGUGAAAGCCCCCGGCUCAACCGGGGAGGGUCAUUGGAAACUGGGAAACUUGAGUGCAGAAGAGGAGAGUGGAAUUCCAUGUGUAGCGGUGAAAUGCGUAGAUAUAUGGAGGAACACCAGUGGCGAAGGCGGCUCUCUGGUCUGUAACUGACGCUGAGGCUC